rnacentral:rRNA from 1 species
GCUUUACUGUAGCCUGGAAUGUGUUCGGGCUUCGCUUGCGCAGGAUAGGUGGGAGGCAUAGAAGUACCCCUUGUGGGGGGUAUGGAGCCAACGGUGAGAUACCACUCUGGCGAGGCUGGGAUUCUAACCUUAACCCGUAAUCCGGGAAAGGAACAGUGUUCAGUUGGGCAGUUUGACUGGGGCGGUCUCCUCCAAAAGAGUAACGGAGGAGUACAAAGGCAACUUCAGCCUGGUCGGUAAUCAGGCAUUGAGCGCAUUGGUAGAAGGUUGCUUAACUGCGAGACUUAUCAGUCGAGCAGGUGUGAAAGCAGGUCAAAGUGAUCCGGUGAUUUCCGUAUGGAAGGGUCAUCGCUCAUCAGAUAAAGGUA